rnacentral:tRNA from 1 species
UCGUUGGGAGUGGACAGUCUGAACUCGACUACGGAUCAGAAGGUUGGGGGUUCGAAUCCCUCCGAGCGCGCCA